GACGAACGCUGGCGGCGUGCUUAACACAUGCAAGUCGAGCGGUAAGGCCCUUUCGGGGGUACACGAGCGGCGAACGGGUGAGUAACACGUGGGUGACCUGCCCUCAGCUCUGGGAUAAGCCUGGGAAACCGGAUCUAAUACUGGAUAUGACUCCAUGACGCAUGUUGUGGGGUGGAAAGCCUUGUGCGGCUGAGGAUGGGCCCGCGGCCUAUCAGCUUGUUGGUGGGGUGAUGGCCUACCAAGGCGACGACGGGUAGCCGGCCUGAGAGGGCGACCGGCCACACUGGGACUGAGACACGGCCCAGACUCCUACGGGAGGCAGCAGUGGGGAAUCUUGCGCAAUGGGCGAAAGCCUGACGCAGCGACGCCGCGUGAGGGAUGACGGCCUCGGUGU
rnacentral:rRNA from 1 species